CAUUUAUUAGCCUUUUUUGUUAUCAGUGGACUCCUUAAACAUGGUAAACAUGUGAUGAGAUUCCAAUCACUUAAUAAAUUUACUUGGCAUUCCUCACAGUUAUUAAUUGAUUUUAAUUUUUUUAUUAAAAAACCAGCAACAUAUAUUAUGAUAAGGUAUUUUCAUCAUGAUCAGAAAAAUCUGUAGUAAUAACUGGCAAAUUCAAUUUUACUAUUUGAGAAUAUUCAAACACAUCUAGGUUGACACAGUCUCUUUGAAUAUUAUCAUGCUCUAAAAAAUCAUGCAGGUUAUCAAGAAGAGAGCUGUCAUCAAGUUCACAGUUUCUGUUGGAAUUAGGAGUGACAAGAUUACUCAGUAAAGAUGUUUUAAAGCAAUCUAUGAACUGAUUUUAAAGUGAUCUAUGAAUAGUUUGGGUUGGAGUUUUCAGCCCCAAAGUGUCGAAUAGCUAAAAAUGAGUUUUCUAAUGGGUCCUGGUUUAAUGACCUAGUUCUCAAAAAUUUUAAACUCAAGGUUCUGCAUGUUUUCCAGAGCUCUUGUGUAGCAGUUAUUAUUGUAAGCCAACCUGAUUUAAACGGCAUUACUCUUUUGGACACAUUAUCAUUGACAAAGACCCAACUGUUGAUUCUUGGUAAAAGCCGACUCCAGAGAGCUAAAUGUGGGGAUUUAUUGGAUAUACACUUUCUAUAGGGUUUCCCAUGCUCUGGUUUACAAGUCCUGCCAUUUAAACUGUCAAAAAGUUGAUCUAUAACAUGUACAAACUCUGCUGUAUCUAUUACCUGAGCAGGAACAUUGUUGGUUGGAUUACUUACUAUUUCUUCAAUUGUGGCUGCAACAGUAUGGCUAACUGUUCUUGCUGCUAAUGACACUUUCAUUUUUAGGCGAUUCUCAAAUUUUAAGUUUAAAUAAACUUCUCUAAUUUUUCUUAAAGCUUGAAAUCUUUUCUUUCGGUCUAUCACAAAACAUUGCCUAAUAUGGUCCAAUGAUGCAAUUUUUUUUUCAUAUAUAAAUAUAUAUAUAUGUGUCAAAAGAGCAAAAACCCUAUGGUUGUUUAUAUAAAAGUAUGGACCCGGUCGAUUAUUUUCUUUUGAAAGUUUUUUUAUGACAGAGCGGUUAUUAGAUGCCUGGUCACAUACUGUACAUAAAACUGUAAGUCCAGUUUCCUCAAUUUUAGCAAUCAACUGUUUUAUUAAAACUUUCAAUUCUAUUGCAAGUAAGUCCCUAGUAAAAAAAUAUGCAAUUGGCUGCUCCCAAGUUUUGUGGAGGCCAUUGACCAUAAAAACUAAAGCAUGUUUUGCAAACUGAUUUCUUCUACCCAUGGGCCCUAGGUCUACAUAGCCAUCAACCAUAUCAUAUAACUGAUUGUACAUUAAUUGUUCUGAGAGUGAAAUUUCAUCAAAAAUUAAUGACCAAUACCUAUCAAUUGCUUUCAUUUUAUUCACUCUUAAUUUUAAUUUACCAAAAAGCUUAUCAUUAAUGCCCGCUUCAAAGGGUGCACUUUUUAAAAGUUUUUGUAGGGUGGAUUUACUUGGUAAAGCUAGACUGCUUUUUAAAAACCUGUAUGAUUUUGGACCUCUUUUGUAGAGUGCUAGGGCAUAUACCUUAUCUUUGGUUGUCCAUGUUGGUCUUUUUGUUUUUAAAUUUGUAAAGCAAUUUUGAAAAAAAGAGGCUACUGAAGGAAUCAUAUUUUGCUCUAGUUCUUAAAAAACUUGGGUUUUUGACAACUGAUAUGCCGCUUUCAAUUUUUGUUUGCUCGAAAACCGUUUGCUUUUUAAUUUGCAGAUUCUGUUGCUUUGGGUUUUGUUAUGCCAUGUUCUGUUUUUUUAUGCCAUUUUACCAUCAAAAUGCCCUAUGCUUCCCACAACCUUUCUUUUCGAAUUAGGGUGAAUGAUCAUUGGCCUAGCAUAAUUAUGUUCAUUCUGAACAUUAUAUUGAGAUUGCUGGAUUAUGACAGCAAAUAAUAAAGUUAUUGUAUCUUCCCAAGGUACUUGUGCCUCAACCAGUACUGGGGCAUUUUGAAUAAUACUUGGGCCAGCAAUUGGGAGAGCACACUUUCUUAAACGAGUAUGUAUAGUACUAGUAAAUGAAAUAUCAUCAAAAUGUUCUUGACAUUAAUAACACCUUGUUGAGGUUGGGCUUAAACCAAGUAUUUUAAACCAUUCGGACCUCCUAAUAAUGUCACUUUCAGGAAAUUUAAAGAAAAUUUUAUUUUUGUAUGAAUCUUCAAUAGGCCAAUAGUAUGUAUUAGAACAAGUAGGUGCCUUGCAUUUAAAAAUGAAUUUUCUUGGUGAUGACAUUAUUAGGGCAGUUUUAAAAUGCUAAACAACAAUUUUAGGUGACCUACAACAUGGUGAAAACUAUUUGAUAAUAAAAAUUGCACUUACCUCAUCCUAGGGAUCUGAAACCACACAAUAAAACAACAAAAAAGCUUCUAUAUGAUGAAAUUACACUUUAAUGACUUUAAGCUACAUUUUUAACUAUUUUUUAUUGAGAAAAAAACAAAAGAACACACCCAAUGGGCGCCAAGAUAAAAAGGAAUAAGCAAUGGCGACGAUCGAUGAUGCGAAGGUGGGUGGUUCCACAUAUUUCUUACUUUUCUAUAUGAAAAUAAAAUUGGAGUACACCAACAAAGGUUAUGUGUUUUGCACCAGAUUGAAAGCAUCAUAGCGAAAAACAGACCUGUCAUUUCUUUAAAUUUUCAAAAGAGCUCCUGGAAAUAGUAAAAUGACUAUCUCUGCUAAAGAAUACUAAGGCAAAUGAAUAAAAAACCUGAAGGUCCAUGCAUUGGAAUGUAAUUGUCAUUUUGUUGACAAAAAUUGAAUGAAUGGGCCCACUAUUUUUCCACAUGCAACGAGGUUAAGAGAGGAGAAACUGAAGACUUUAUCAAAAACUCAGGUUAAUACAGAAUUGCUUAGUACAAACUUAUCUAUACCCAGUACAAGUUUGUCCACAUCUUUGAAGCAUGGUACUUCAAACAGAGAAACUGUCAACAAUUUUGGUAGAAGGUGAGCCGGUGUCAAAUUCCAGUAAGGGACAUGAUUUCAAUUUUGCACCAACCGCAGAGCCUAAAAUUCAUUUUGCUGCAAAAAGUUGGAGGAUGUGAAAAAAAAAGUGCAGAAGUUAAAAUUAAGUUUUUCAUAUAAGCACAUAAAAAAUAGUCAUGACAAAGUUCAGUUGUAUACAUGUAAUAAAUAUUUUUGUAACAUUAUUAAGUUAAUUAGUUUUAUACAUUAUUUAAAUGACAAUUGUAUAGUUCACAUAAAAUAGGCAGCCGUUAUAUUAUGUACUUAUAUAAAAUUUUUUAUUAAGAU